rnacentral:piRNA from 1 species
UUUCAUGGAUGCCUGUCCGGGGAUGG